GAGAGCUACACUGCUCUCUUAGAAUUUUUCUAGAGGGUUUCCUAACUUUGGUCAUAAAACCCAU